AGAUUGAACGCUGGCGGCGUGCCUAACACAUGCAAGUCGAGCGGUAACAGGUGUAGCAAUACAUGCUGACGAGCGGCGAACGGGUGAGUAAUGCUUUGGAAUCUUCCCAGUAGUGGGGAAUAACCAGUCGAAAGAUUGGCUAAUACCGCAUACGUCUGUAAAGGGAAAGCGGGGGCUCGUAAGACCUCGCGCUAUUGGAUGAGCCAAAGUCGGAUUAGCUAGUUGGUGGGGUAAUGGCCUACCAAGGCGACAAUCCGUAGCUGGUCUGAGAGGACGACCAGCCACACCGGAACUGAGACACGGUCCGGACUCCUACGGGAGGCAGCAGUGGGGAAUAUUGGACAAUGGGGGAAACCCUGAUCCAGCGACGCCGCGUGUGUGAAGAAGGCCUGCGGGUUGUAAAGCACUUUUAGUGGGGACAAAAGCUACGGAUUAAUACUCUGUGGUCUUGAUUUAACCCAAAGAAAAGCACCGGCUAACUCUGCGCCAGCAGCCGCGGUAA
rnacentral:rRNA from 1 species